GAUGAAGAACGCAGCGAAAUGCGAUAAGUAAUGUGAAUUGCAGAAUUCAGUGAAUCAUCGAAUCUUUGAACGCACAUUGCGCCUGCCAGUAUUCUGGCGGGCAUGCCUGUUCGAGCGUCAUUACAACCCUCAGGCCCCCGGGCCUGGCGUUGGGGAUCGGCGGAGCCCCCCGUGGGCACACGCCGUCCCCCAAAUGCAGUGGCGGUCCCGCCGCAGCUUCCAUCGCGUAGUAGCUAACACCUCGCGCCUGGAGAGCGGCGCGGCCACGCCGUAAAACACCCAACUCUUCUGAAGUUGACCUCGAAUCAGGUAGGAAUACCCGCUGAACUUAAGCAUAUCAAUAAGCGGAGGA
rnacentral:misc_RNA from 1 species